AAUAUUGGACAAUGGGCGAAAGCCUGAUCCAGCUAUGCCGCGUGUGUUAAGGGGCUCCUCGGAUUGUAAAGCACUUUAAGUUGGGAGGGUGGGUUGUAGAUUAAUACUGUGCAAUUUUGACGUUAUCAACAUAAUAAGCACCUGCUAACUGCGUGCCAUCAACCGUGGUAACACGGAGGGUGCAAGCGUUCAUCGGAAUUACUGGGCGUAAAGCGAGCGUAGGUGGUUUGUCAAGUUGGAAGUGAAAGCCCCGGGCUCAACCUGGGAACUGCUUUCAAAACUGGCAAGCUAGAGUAUGGCAGAGGGUGGUGGAAUUUCCUGUGUAGCGGUGAAAUGCGUAGAUAUAGGAAGGAACAUCAGUGGCGAAGGCGACCACCUGGGCUAAUACUGACACUGAGGUGCGAAAGCGUGGGGAGCAAACAGG
rnacentral:rRNA from 1 species